GGGGGCGAUUGGCGUCGACAGGGUAGAGGCGCGCUCAGGCUGCGAGCCGAGGUGCCGUUGGCCUCGUAAAAAAGCGGCAAAAAAAUAAGAGCGACUCCUCAGUACGCUCUCGCUGCCUAAUUAAGUAGGCAGCCGUCCUGCCGCCUCCUGCCGGCCGAGGCGGAUGUGGGCGUGUGCUAUGCCGGCUAGCCUGAACGGAAACGUUCACCGCCGUUUGGGCGAAAGCGCAGGGUGAACU
rnacentral:tmRNA from 1 species